rnacentral:rRNA from 1 species
CAGUAGCCGCGGUAAAACAGAGGGUGCGAGCGUUAAUCGGAUUUACUGGGCGUAAAGCGUGCGUAGGAGGCUUUUUAAGUCGGAUGUGAAAUCCCUGAGCUUAACUUAGGAAUUGCAUUCGAUACUGGGAAGCUAGAGUAUGGGAGAGGAUGGUAGAAUUCCAGGUGUAGCGGUGAAAUGCGUAGAGAUCUGGAGGAAUACCGAUGGCGAAGGCAGCCAUCUGGCCUAAUACUGACGCUGAGGUACGAAAGCAUGGGGAGCAAACAGGAUUAGAUACCCCAGUAGUCCCUGUCUCUUAUAC